rnacentral:rRNA from 1 species
UACGGGGGGGGCAAGCGUUGUUCGGAAUUACUGGGCGUAAAGGGCGCGUAGGCGGCCUGCUAAGUCGGACGUGAAAUCCCUCGGCUCAACCGAGGAACUGCGUCCGAUACUGGUGGGCUUGAAUCCGGGAGAGGGAUGUGGAAUUCCAGGUGUAGCGGUGAAAUGCGUAGAUAUCUGGAGGAACACCGGUGGCGAAGGCGGCAUCCUGGACCGGUAUUGACGCUGAGGCGCGAAAGCGUGGGGAGCGAUCCGG